GGAAUGUGGCUCAGUGGCAGAGUGCUUGCCUGGCAUGCAUAAAGUCCUGGGUUUGGUUCUCAGCACCA
rnacentral:tRNA from 1 species